AUGAGCAGCCAACUGCCGCCACUGCCGCCGGCUGCGCCAGCAGCGAAACCUCCGUCGAUCCCCUCCACGGCCACUACCACUACUCUCGCUACCGCCGCCGAUGGAACCACCACCAUAUCCUUGCUUGGCCAAGACCAGCUCCUCGAGAUCUUCCUCCGCCUGCCGAGCCUGCCGGCCCUCGCCCGUGCCGCGCUCACUUGCCGCUCGUGGCUCGGCGCCGUCCGCUCCUCCCGGUCCUUCCGCAGCCUCUUCCGCGCCCUCCACCCGGCGCCCCUCGUUGGGAUCUUCCUCGAACUCGACGAGGGCGCCGUCCGAUCCUUCGCCCCCUUCCGCUGCUCAGAUCCCGACGUCACCGCCGCACUCCGCCGCGGCGACUUCUUCCUCACCUCCCUCACUGCCGAGGACGACCCGCACGCCGUCUGCUGGGAAAUGAUGGACUGCCGCGACGGUUACAUCCUCCUGUGGAACAUGGUGUCCGUCGCUGUCAUGAACCCUAUGACCUGGGCCGUGAACAUCAUCCCGGUGCCCGAGGAGGCUAGAGAAGGCAGUCUCCUUGAUUCCGCCUCCGUUGAGUUCCAUCUGCUGUCUUCAGAGGAGAACCCCUGGUCGUUCAGCGUGGUCUUCUUGUGCGCACACAUAUCUAGGCUUCAGGCCAUCGUCUUCUCGUCGGAAACGAGGGAUUGGGUCGUCCACCCUUGGAUGGAAAUCGGCGGUGAAUUCAGCAUGAUGUUCAGUGCUGCCACACUGCUGGGUGGUUAUAUUUAUCGGCCUCUCUAUGGCGAAGGACGCGUGAUCAGGAUAAACAUAGCCACCAUGGAUGUCUCCUCUCUGUAUCUACCCUCGUUGGCAACAGACGGUGUUUCCAUGGGGGAUACCGAGGAUGGAAAGCUCUGCAUGGUCUAUGCAUCAACUGAUGAUCUUCUUCUCCAUGUUUGGAUCCGCAGCGGGGACGGCGAUGGGAUCGAGAGCUGGGUGCUGCAGGACGUAAUCUCUUUGAGGGCAGAAAUUGAUGAGAUCACUCCUACCCCCUGGGAGUGGCAGGACCAAGUCACAAUUGUGGAAGUCAGGCCUGGAUGUGUGUACUUCUCCAUGACGUGCAUAACUGAUGGCACAGAGCGCAUCUGGUUCUUCUACCUUUCAAUUAAGACCAUGGAGAUUGAGUUGCUGAUGCAAGUCACGUCUCAUGACUAUGCAUGUCCAUAUACUAUGGCUUGGCCUCCUUGUUUGAUUGGUGAUGACAGGAGCACGAAACAUGAGGCUGAAGGAUCCGGCAGUUGUUUGCUGAAGUCCAGUAAUUCUACCAAGCAGAAGCGCAAGUCGUCGAGCCCCGUCGGCCUAGCCAUCGAUUUCAACAGUGCUGAUGCGUCGAGGCAGCCCUUGCAGCCAAACUCUCCAGACUGCAGGUUGCACAAGAAGUGA
rnacentral:rRNA from 1 species